CGCGUAGGCGGGGAGGUAAGUCGGGUGUGAAAUCCCUCGGCCCAACCGAGGAACUGCGCCCGAGACUGCUUCUCUUGAGUCCCGGAGAGGAAGAUGGAAUUCCCGGUGUAGCGGUGAAAUGUGUAGAGAUCGGGAGGAGCACCGGUGGCGAAGGCGGUCUUCUGGACGGUGACUGACGCUGAGGCGCGAAAGCGUGGGGAGCAAAACG
rnacentral:rRNA from 1 species